rnacentral:rRNA from 1 species
CCUACGGGAGGCAGCAGUGGGGAAUCUUGCGCAAUGGGCGAAAGCCUGACGCAGCCAUGCCGCGUGAAUGAUGAAGGUCUUAGGAUUGUAAAAUUCUUUCACCGGGGACGAUAAUGACGGUACCCGGAGAAGAAGCCCCGGCUAACUUCGUGCCAGCAGCCGCGGUAAUACGAAGGGGGCUAGCGUUGCUCGGAAUUACUGGGCGUAAAGGGCGCGUAGGCGGAUCGUUAAGUCAGAGGUGAAAUCCCAGGGCCCAACCCUGGAACUGCCUUUGAUACUGGCGAUCUUGAGUAUGAGAGAGGUAUGUGGAACUCCGAGUGUAGAGGUAAAAUUCGUAGAUAUUCGGAAGAACACCAGUGGCGAAGGCGACAUACUGGCUCAUUACUGACGCUGAGGCGGGAAAGCGUGGGGAGCAAACAGGAUUAGAUCCCC